GUAGAAGAAGUGUGUGGGGGCUAGUUUUUAGUACGUAAGCGUCAUGGAUGGCGAAUCGUGCAUGCUGCUACUGAGAACCAGCAGUAUCUUCCGAAGAUUUUCUACCUCCUGC
rfam:Glossina austeni unplaced genomic scaffold Scaffold232, whole genome shotgun sequence.